rnacentral:lncRNA from 1 species
GAAGUUUCAAAAGCUUCCCCCUAGAUCAAAUCAAGACAGUCUUUGGGUAUCAUCUUGUUCUCCAGAGCAUGUCCUGGAGAGAAGGCAAUUUAAGGUGAAAUUACCUUGUUGAGAAUGUCUUGGCAUUAUUUUUUAUUUCUUCCUCGUGCAGCUCAUCUUUUGGGUACAUAAGCAUAUUGGAAAGGAUAAUUUUGUUGUAUUUUGCCUUUGGCAAACUUGAGAUGACAAACAGAUGAUAUGCUUUUUGUCUCGUAGAUUUGAUCAGAGUAUAGUCCGUGCAACGCUAAGCGUUGUUCCUGCAAAACUUUGCCCUGUGCAAUCCAUUCCAGCAAAUUGAUCAAGAGCAGACGGAUUCGACUUGUUACUUUAACCACUUGAUGCAACUCUAUUGGUCCGUUUAGCCCUUCGAUUGUAUCCCAUAAUAAAAUCUCUCUGAUAAACAUCUUGUCGAUGAUUCGAUUUUAACAUAUUAUUUAUAAUCUUCGUGUGCGCUUUUCGCCUGGCUUUUGUCGAUGAUUCGAUUUUAAUGUUGAGUCCUUUAUCACUGUAAUGUCAGCCUAGACUUGUGAACAGAAUACUUGGUGUUUGAUUGGGUUCGAACAUUUUGCAUCAAAAGAUAUCCAAGGCGCAUGCAAUCAUGAACCAAAUACUCAAAGUAGACAGGCAGC